AUGAGGUCUCCCUGAGAACUUGGGGUAAGCAGCCUUGAUCCCUAUAGCCCUGGCCCAGGGAUACCUUGGCAGGGGCCUGACUCACCAUGCCUGAGAGGUAGUCCUGGUUGAACUGCCCCGCAUAGUUGGCUACGUUAUCCAGCCCGAUAGGGGGCAUGCUGGGAGGAGGGUAGCCAGCACCUCCCCAGGGACCGCCACCUGAAAGCAACACCAAGCCAUUAUUAGCUCUGUAUCCCUGGCCCACUGACAGAACAGAAAAGAGGGCUGCAGAGGGGCUGCUGUGAUAACCAAGAAAGACCAGCAUCCAGCCAAUGUUAUAAAGCAGAGGAAGAAGGCAGGUCCAGCCCCAGUGGGGAGUCAGGCAUGCUUUGUCCUCGAAAAGCCAGCACCACUGGGUGAGAGAACAGAUCCAUCCUUAGGCUCUGUGCGGAGCUGAGCAUGUGACAGCCAUGGACUCCAGGAAUGCUGAGGAUUCUCAGAUGGAGAGAAAUGAAGCCACGUCAGAGGGCAGGGUCACUGUGAAGGACAGUAUCAAGGAGCCCGUUGGGAGACCACAUGGCUGGCUGUGUGUCCUGAGGCAAGGCUCUGAACCACUCAUUCAUGUCUGCAGAAGUGUGACCUCCAGGUGCUGAGAUACAGUCUUCAGUCCCAAUGCUCCAGAGAACCUGAAAAUGCCGCCUCCUAUGGCCAAAGAGUCAGUCCAGAGUGACUGAGAUUACACACUAGGUGAGCAUGGUCUGAUUCUGGAUUACCCAGGACAGAUCAAUCCAACUGUAGGCGCCCUUACAAGUGGAAACUCUUCCCCUCUAUGGAACACCAACAAUGGAAAGCCAACAAUGGCCCCACCUGAAGAGGAAUGGGCCACAAAGACCGGGAUGGCUACCAGCACCAGAGACACCAAGCAAUCAGAUCAUUCCCAGUUAAGGAACAACCCUGUGAGCACCUUAACAUGGCAGUCACAAUCAUGAGACUAGACUGUGAGAUCAAACUGCUAGACAAGCCACAAGGCCACAGCUACUGCAGAGAACAGUAAAGGCUCCUAAAAAUGAAACUCAACACAGAACUGCCACAGGAUCCCACAAGCAAAAGCAAGACCUCUCUCAGCUAGCCACGUGAUGAACAGAUAAAGAAAAUCAGCUGCUCACUCUGAAAACAGGGGCCAUCCUGAUGCGUGCGAUGGCACGGAUGAAGCCAGCACACUAACUGAAAUAAGGCAGCCACAGAAAGGUAAGUGCUGCCUAAUUCCACUCUAAGACAGAAAGACAUGGCUGCCUCGGAGGCUGGGGCAAAAGGGAAAUGGGAAGAUUGUUAAAUGGGGACAGUAAGCUUGGGACGAUGAGAAAGUUCUGGAAACAGACUGUGGUGAGGGAUGCAUACAAAGUGAAUGUUCAAUGUCACUGAACUGCACAUAUAAAAUUAGUCAACACGGCAAACCUCAUGUCAUGUAUACUACCACAAAAACGUACUAAGUUUGUCUGCAAGAACAGGAAUAGCAGACUAACCUAUACAGUAGCCACCUCUCCCUUCCUCCAGACCCCUUCCUGGCUGAGGUCUGCCACCAGCCCAUACAGCCUGGCCAGCCUCUUUGACAGGAGAAGCACCAAAGCCCUGACACCACAACAAAUCAUUUCUACAACAAAAGCCAAAGGGCGCUCCCCCUGCCCUGGAGAAGGGGCUCAGAUAAGGCUCGAUCACUUGUGUGAUAGGUCAACACAGUCACCAUGGUCACCGUGAGUCACCACAAUAAGAGCUGGGUUUUCUGUGGCCAGGCAACAAACCCAGCCAGCAAUAGGGAGGGGAACUAAGCACCUGACAUGAUUUAAGCAUGCAGGUAACAGAGCAUUCUGGCCAGCUGGUCAGCCAAGGGUGACCCCUUUUCUCCCCCACCCUUUACAUAUGGAGAAACUGACAACCAGAGAGGAAGUGGCUUGCCACCAUGACACAGCAAGGGACCAGCCCUGGACCUCUUGCCUCCUUACCAAGUACUAUGAAGCAUAGGGCGUGGCACCAGCACAGGUUCCCAGCUCAGGAGGGACCCACUUUCCUUUAUCAAAAGCUCUGAAAGAGUAAGAGUUCUAGGUAGGCCCAAUGCCUCAACCUAAGGUAGGUAAUGUGCAGAAGACCAGCGAGACCAAAGGAUGAUUUUGCACAGGGAGAAGUGGUAUAGAGCCCUGCCUGACACCUCCCUCGAGCCACGCCAAAGGACUCAGCACUGUUUGUGUAUAAACUGACAACGCAGGAUCCCAGCACACUGAACAAGAUCUCCAGUAAGAACGGGAGAGACCAAGAGAAGACUCAGAGGGGAGAGAGCCAUUGAUGAGACAUAUCAGAGGGAAUACAAGUGAUAUGCUCGGAGACACAGAGGAAAUCUAUUCAUAAAGCAAAACAGAAAGGAAAUGCUGUACACAUAGAACACCGAGGAAGCAGUAAAAUCUCUUAGAAAC
ensembl:antisense